AGCACCACAACAGGUGGAGCCUGCGGUUUAAUCGGACUCAACGCCGGGAAACUCACCAGAUAAGACAGCUGAAUGAUAGUCGGGCUGAAGACUCUACUUGACUAGCUGAGAGGAGGUGCAUGGCCGUCGUCAGUUCGUACUGUGAAGCAUCCUGUUGAGUCAGGCAACGAGCGAGACCCACGCCAACAGUUGCCAGCUCGUCCUCCGGGAUGGUGGGGACACUGUUGGGACCGCCUCUGCUAAAGAGGAGGAAGGAAUGGGCAACGGUAGGUCAGCAUGCCCCGAAUUAUCUGGGCUACACGCGGGCUACAAUGGGUGGGACAAUGGGUAUCGACACCGAAAGGUGAAGGCAAUCUCCUAAACCCAUCCGUAGUUCGGAUUGUGGGCUGCAACUCGCCCACAUGAAGCUGGAAUCUGUAGUAAUCGUGUCUCAAAAUGGCACGGUGAAUAUGUCCCUGCUCCUU
rnacentral:rRNA from 1 species